rnacentral:rRNA from 1 species
CAGCAGCCGCGGUAAUACGAAGGGUGCAAGCGUUAAUCGGAAUUACUGGGCGUAAAGCGUGCGUAGGCGGUUUGUUAAGUCUGUUGUGAAAUCCCCGGGCUCAACCUGGGAAUGGCAAUGGAUACUGGCAAGCUAGAGUGUGUCAGAGGAUGGUGGAAUUCCCGGUGUAGCGGUGAAAUGCGUAGAGAUCGGGAGGAACAUCAGUGGCGAAGGCGGCCAUCUGGGACAACACUGACGCUGAGGCACGAAAGCGUGGGGAGCAAACAGGAUUAGAGACCCCCGUAGUCCCUGUCUCUUAUAC